GUGGGGAAUUUUGGACAAUGGGCGAAAGCCUGAUCCAGCAAUGCCGCGUGCAGGAAGAAGGCCUUCGGGUUGUAAACUGCUUUUGUACGGAACGAAACGGUCCGGGUUAAUACCCUGGGCUAAUGACGGUACCGUAAGAAUAAGCACCGGCUAACUACGUGCCAGCAGCCGCGGUAAUACGUAGGGUGCGAGCGUUAAUCGGAAUUACUGGGCGUAAAGCGUGCGCAGGCGGUGAUGUAAGACAGAUGUGAAAUCCCCGGGCUCAACCUGGGAACUGCAUUUGUGACUGCAUCGCUGGAGUGCGGCAGAGGGGGAUGGAAUUCCGCGUGUAGCAGUGAAAUGCGUAGAUAUGCGGAGGAACACCGAUGGCGAAGGCAAUCCCCUGGGCCUGCACUGACGCUCAUGCACGAAAGCGUGGGGAGCAAACAGGAUUAGAUACCCGUGUAGUCC
rnacentral:rRNA from 1 species